UACGGGGGGGCAAGCGUUGUUCGGAAUUACUGGGCGUAAAGGGUUCGUAGGUGGCCAAUUAAGUCAGACGUGAAAUCCCUCAGCUUAACUGGGGAACUGCGUCUGAGACUGGAUGGCUUGAGUGCAGGAGAGGAACGCGGAAUUCCAGGUGUAGCGGUGAAAUGCGUAGAUAUCUGGAGGAACACCGGUGGCGAAGGCGGCGUUCUGGACUGCAACUGACACUGAGGAACGAAAGCCAGGGAGCAAACGGG
rnacentral:rRNA from 1 species